rnacentral:lncRNA from 1 species
GCGGCGAAGAAGAGGGGGGCGACGUUCGUGAUCAUCAGCUUCGAAGGAUUUCGACCAAAUUCUUCAAAUGGGCGACACCCACGUCAGGAGCCUGAGUAAAGACGAAAAAGAGGAACCGCCUUUAGGAGAUCGUGGCUGAGAGCGAGGAGGGAGUCUAGGGUUUCCCACGUGGAGAUUGGGUAUAUUGAAUUGUGGAGUCGGGCGGGAUCAUCAGCUUCGAGAGGGAGG